GGAGUCUAGCAUGUGCGCGAGUCAUUGGGACAUAACUAAACCUAAAGGCGCAAUGAAAGUGAAGGUCCGCCUCGCGCGGAUCGAGGGAAGAUGGGCGGUCCGCCUCAAAGCGGCCGCCUCGCAUUCCCGGGGCGUCUCGUUCUCAUCGCGAGAAGAGGCGCACCAAGAGCGUACACGCUGGGACCCGAAAGAUGGUGAACUAUGCCUGGUCAGGACGAAGUCAGGGGAAACCCUGAUGGAGGUCCGUAGCGAUUCUGACGUGCAAAUCGAUCGUCGGAACUGGGUAUAGGGGCGAAAGACUAAUCGAACCAUCUAGUAGCUGGUUCCCUCCGAAGUUUCCCUCAGGAUAGCUGGCGCUCGUCGCGCACGAGUCUCAUCCGGUAAAGCGAAUGAUUAGAGGCAUUGGGGUCGAAACGGCCUCAACCUAUUCUCAAACUUUAAAUGGGUGAGAUCUCCGGCUUGCUCGAACUACUGAAGCCGCGAGACACGGAUCAGAGUGCCAAGUGGGCCAUUUUUGGUAAGCAGAACUGGCGCUGUGGGAUGAACCAAACGCCGAGUUAAAGCGCCUAAAUCGACGCUUAUGGGACACCAUGAAAGGCGUUGGUAACUUAAGACAGCAGGACGGUGGCCAUGGAAGUC
rnacentral:rRNA from 1 species